rnacentral:rRNA from 1 species
UACGGAAGGCAGCAGUGGGGAAUAUUGCACAAUGGGCGCAAGCCUGAUGCAGCCAUGCCGCGUGUAUGAAAAAGGCCUUCGGGUUGUAAAGUACUUUCAGUCGUGAGGAAGGUGUUAAGGUUAAUAACCUUAGCAAUUGACGUUAGCGACAGAAGAAGCACCGGCUAACUCCGUGCCAGCAGCCGCGGUAAUACGGAGGGUGCGAGCGUUAAUCGGAAUUACUGGGCGUAAAGGGCACGCAGGCGGUUAAUUAAGUUGGAUGUGAAAUCCCCGGGCUUAACCUGGGAAUGGCAUUCAAGACUGGUUAGCUAGAGUCUUGUAGAGGGGGUAGAAUUCCAUGUGUAGCGGUGAAAUGCGUAGAGAUGUGGAGGAGUACCGGUGGCGAAGGCGGCCCCUGGACAAAGACUGACGCUCAUGUGCGAAAGCGUGGGGAGCGAAACAGGGAUUAGAUACC